rnacentral:rRNA from 1 species
ACGAACGCUGGCGGCAUGGAUUAGGCAUGCAAGUCGAACGGGCUAUGCGCCGCAAGGUGCGUAGCUAGUGGCGAAAGGGUGAGGAACACGUGAGUAACCUACCCCCAAGUUGGGAACAACCCUCCGAAAGGAAGGCUAAUACCGAAUGUGGAUACAUGGUCGCAUGGUCAUGUGUCUAAAGAUUUAUCGCUUGGGGAGGGGCUCGCGUCCCAUUACGCUUGUUGGCGGGGUAACGGCCCACCAAGGCUAUGACGGGUAGCUGGUCUGAGAGGAUGACCAGCCACACUGGGACUGAGACACUGCCCAGACUCCUACGGGAGGCUGCAGUCGAGAAUCUUCCGCAAUGGGCGAAAGCCUGACGGAGCAAUGCCGCGUGCAGGAUGAAGGCCCUCGGGUUGUAAACUGCUGUCAUCGGGGACGAAUAAAUGACGGUACCCGGAGAGGAAGCAACGGCUAACUACGU